AAGGAUCAUUGUUGAGAUCACAUAAUAAUUGAUCGAGUUAAUCUGGAGGAUCUGUUUACUUUGGUCACCCAUGAGCAUUUGCUGUUGAAGUGACCUAGAUUUGCCAUCGAGCCUCCUUGGGAGCUUUCUUGUUGGCGAGAUCUAAACCCUUGCCCGGCGCAGUUUUGCGCCAACUCAUAUGACACAUAAUUGGUGAAGGGGGUGGCAUCCUGCCCUGACCCUCCCCAAAUUAUUUUUUUAACAACUCUCAGCAACGGAUAUCUCGGCUCUUGCAUCGAUGAAGAACGCAGCGAAAUGCGAUAAAUGGUGUGAAUUGCAGAAUCCCGUGAACCAUCGAGUCUUUGAACGCAAGUUGCGCCCGAGGCCAUCAGGCCAAGGGCACGCCUGCCUGGGCAUUGCGAGUCAUAUCUCUCCCUUAACGAGGCUGUCCAUACAUACUGUUCAGCCGGUGCGGAUGUGAGUUUGGCCCCUUGUUCUUUGGUACGGGGGGUCUAAGAGCUGCAUGGGCUUUUGAUGGUCCUAAAUACGGCAAGAGGUGGACGAACUAUGCUACAACAAAAUUGUUGUGCAAAGGCCCCGGGUUGUCGUAUUAGAUGGGCCACCGUAAUCUGAAGACCCUUUUGAACCCCAUUGGAGGCCCAUCAACCCAUGAUCAGUUGAUGGCCAUUUGGUUGCGACCCCAGGUCAGGUGAGGCAACCCGCUGAGUUUAAGCAUAUCAAUAAGCGGAGGAGAAGAAACUUACGAGGAUUCCUUAC
rnacentral:rRNA from 1 species